rnacentral:tRNA from 1 species
GCUCGGGUGGUGGAAUGGCAGACACGCCAGCUUGAGGGGCUGGUGCCCGCAAGGGCGUGUGGGUUCGACUCCCACUCCGAGCACCA